CCUACGGGAGGCAGCAGUGGGGAAUAUUGGUCAAUGGGCGUAACCCUGAUCCAGCGACGCCGCGUGAGUGAAGAAGUAUUUCGGUAUGUUAAGCUCUAUCAGUAGGGAAGUAAAUGACGGUACCUGACUAAGUUUCCACGUCUCACUACGUUCCAGCAGCGGUGGUACUACGGAGGGGGCCAGCGUUAUCCGGAUUUACUGGGUGUAAAGGGAGCGUAGACGGUGCAGCAAGUCUGAUGUGAAAGGUCGGGGCCCAACCCCGGGACUGCAGUGGAAACUGUUGAACUGGAGUACAGGAGAGGUAAGCGGAAUUCGUGGUGUAGCGGUGAAAUGCGUAGAUAUUAGGAGGAACACCAGUGGCGAAGGCGGCUUACUGGACUGUAACUGACGUUGAGGCUCGAAAGCGUGGGGAGCAAACAGGAUUAGAUACCCCAGUAGUC
rnacentral:rRNA from 1 species